GAUCGCCGGGCGCCGUUUUGGGAGUACGUUGGCGUGCGGAGCAGCCCGCCCUGCCUCCGGAAGUUACGCGCUCAGUCCCGCCCCCGGAGGAUCGCGGGCGCCGGCCGGGGUUGGGUCUACAGUGCUGGUUACCCUGAGCGAGUGAGCCGUGGUCUCAGCGGCUGUAGUCCUUGUUGACUCCGGCAGGUCGACGGUCCGAUCCCCGGCCUAAGGUCGCCUGUCCGCUCUGUUUCUCGCUUCUGCCGGUUCCUUGAGGUGAACACGCCCGCAGACCUCGAGUGGCCGGCCGAGACGGUGCUGCGCAGCAGAUUCAUUGUCGCGAAUGCCUAGUGGACCUCGCCGUCGAACCAGCAGCCCGCCGGGUUGUGCAAUUCUAGGGUCUAAACUUGAAGUGGGGAGAAGGUGGAUGCAGGAGAACUAAAGUUGCAGCAAGAAGUGAUCACCUCAGUGUCCUUGGUGGAGGAGGACACAGCUGUGCCUGAAGCAAGCCUUCCUGACUGUGGGGGUUCCUUGAAGUACGUCAUGGAUGAUGGAGGACCCCAGGGCCAUCCUCAUUGUUACAGGAUUUGUCCAAUGCACCCAGGUGGCCACAUGAUUGAUGUUUUCUCAGGAAUAAAGCAUUACAUUGAAGAAUCUUACAUAAUUCAGAAGGUUUGACAUGCUAUGGAGAAAGAAAGGAACAUGGAACUUGGAAAUUAGCUGAACUCUAACUGUGAAAACACAGCUGAAGCUCUGGGAAAUAUUUUCUUGCUUGAAGUGGAUCUAUCCUUGCUUCCAGAGGGCAGCAGAGGAGGGGAAAUCAGCUUGGACACAUUUUUCAGGGCAUCUUGGUUUGUUGAAAAAGAGGUAUCAUGAUGCAUUUUAAUGUGCUUUAAGUUUAUUUUAAAAGAAAAGCAAAGAGUGAACACCAAGCAUGAAUGCCGUAGUAUUUACUGCUUUCAACCAUCUUGAACUGUUUGGUGCCAUUCAAAUCAAAGUUCUAUAAUAAUGAGAAGGUCUAUUCUACUGAAUUACUGUGACUAGAAUUAAACAUGUACUCAAACGCACACACUCACAUUCACACCUCCAUCUUUGAGCAUCACUGCCAUAUAAACUGCAGUGAAUUCCCAAACUGCAACUGAUGAGUCAGAAAGCACUUUUAAAAUCACCUGAGGGAUGUGGCGUCUAGGUGGCUCAGUUGUUUAAGCAUCUGGACUCCUGAUUUCUGCUCAGGUCAUCAUAUCAUGGUGAGAUCAAGCCCCAGAGGUCAUGAUCUCAUGGUCGUGAGAUAGAGCCUCACGUUGAGUUCUAUGUUGGACUCCAUGCUGGGAGUGGAGCCUGUUUGGGAUUCUCUCUCUUCCUCUCUCU